CACAUAAAUCAUGCUGCUUUAGUCAUGAAGAACGAAUGCUAAGCUCCUUCGCACUGCACAAUGGCAUUUAGGAGUCUGACGUAGCCUUCUCCAGAUCAUUUUUCUUGAAUUAAUGAUGCUUAUAUGCCAUGAUUAAGCCAUCUUGGUACCAUUUUCGUCUGCUGCAGAUGUGUUACCUGAAGGAGCGACGCCUAGGGGCUCAUGGGUAGUUUGCUUUCGCUUGUUCUUCAUACCUUCUACCCUCGUCUCUAAUCUGUCUUGUCCUUUCGUGCUCUAAAAAUUUCAACAAUAUAAUCUUAGGAAGUUCAAAUGCUUAUCUUUGUUCUUCUACAAGCAAUGGAAAUUUGGCUUUGGCAAAGUGGGAAGGUUGCAUCUUGAAUAUUAAGAACCUUCGUUGUGCAUGCAUGAUGUUUGUUCCAAUGCCUUAAAGACCGAUACAAAUGUAGAACGGUUUGGCAGCUGAUUCGAUAGAUGAGCUACAAAGGCUUCAUUUGUGACAGCUUUAGACAACUAUUUUUUCUCUGCUUUCAAGUGAUUUUUAUACUAAAAAGCAGCUUUACAAAGCAAUAAGAAUGUCGUCACAAACAAAGUCAAAAUCUAAUGGCAUUCCUCACCAAAUAUGAAACUGGAAUGUACAAACUGAGGUGCGCACAGUAGGUGAGCAGCAAGAAGGUUCCUCCAAA